GAUGAACGCUGGCGGCGCGCCUAACACGUGCAAGUCGAACGAUUAAAGCACCUUCGGGUGUGUAUAAAGUGGCGAACGGCUGAGUAACACGUGGGCAACCUGCCCCUCUCAUUGGGAUAGCCACGGGAAACCGUGGAUAAUACCGAAUACUUCGGGACUUCCGCAUGGAAGACUCGAGAAAGCUCCGGCGGAGAGGGAUGGGCCCGCGGCCUGUUAGCUUGUUGGUGGGGUAAUGGCCUACCAAGGCAAUGAUGGGUAGCUGGGUUGAGAGACCGACCAGCCAGAUUGGGACUGAGACACGGCCCAGACUCCUACGGGGGGCAGCAGUGGGGAAUCUUGCACAAUGGGCGAAAGCCUGAUGCAGCGACGCCGCGUGCGGGAUGAAGGCCUUCGGGUUGUAAACCGCUUUCAGCAGGGACGAGGCGAAAGUGACGGUACCUGCAGAAGAAGCCCCGGCUAACUACGUG
rnacentral:rRNA from 1 species